rnacentral:misc_RNA from 1 species
CAACCCUCAGGGCCCUCCCCCUGGUGUUGGGGACCGGCGAAGGCGGCGGCGGCGCGCUCCUCUGCGCGCCUCCCCUCCCCCCGCCCCCGAAAUGAAUUGGCGGCCUCGUCGCGGCCUCCUCUGCGUAGUAGCACAACCUCGCAACGGGAGCGCGGCGCGGCCACUGCCGUAAAACGCACAACUUCUCAAG